UUAAUUACAAAUAGUUGGUAUGCAAUCAAUACCAAUUUUUAUAAGAUUUGUGAAUCAAUCAAAAACUGGAUUGUUGGAAAAUAAAUGAGUUAGGUACCUACUAUACACAUAUUGUGUUAAUAUUUCUAGUAACUAUAUAAAUAAAAAAACACAAAUAGUUCUAACUUAAUUUAGAUAUUAACUAUAUAUAGGAUACAUAUAAAUAAGAACUACAAAUAUUUACAAUACAUUACAUACAAUAAUUAUUGUAUUUAUAUUCAAUUUUAAUUAAAUUGUCCAUUUUACUUUGAACUUAAUUUUAAAGUUGGCGGGAUUCAGCUAUCACAGCAAAAUAACAAAUUUAAGGCUGAAUAAAAAGGCGAGCGCUUCCAAUCCGAUUAAUUCAGCGCACCGUUCACUAGUAAAAGAGCUUCCAAUCCGAUUGCAAUCCGAUUCCAAGCUCUCUGUUUGAUGAACGCAACCAAUGGUUGCGUUCACCAGAAUAAUCCGAGUGCAAUCCGAUUAAUUUGCGCUGAAACGCUGACAGUUUUUUUACUAGUGAACGACUGACGUUUGACAUUCGAUUGAGAGUGUUCUGUGUUCCAUUUGUUUAUUUUUUUAUUCUUUGUUUAUAUAAUUUAUAACCUAGACAGUUUUGUUUUUAAAUAAAACUGAAACUGUGUCUAAGCUAAAAUGGAUAAUAUUCUUGAAGAAUUUUUGUUUGGGGACGAAAUUAGCAAAUGCCGUUAUACAUUUAGCAGAUGUACCUGCCUCACAAUUAUUCCAGAAGGAUGAGAUGAAAUUAAAUAUAUAUAAACCAUAAUUCAAUAUCCAAUUUAGAGAACAUUUUCGUAUGUCCAGAACUACUUUCCAGGAACUAUUUAAUUGUAUUGGUCAUAUCCACCAAUUUGAAAACAGAAUAAUUCUAUUGGAAAAAAUUAAUGUUUAUGAUGUGGAUGCUAAGUAAACCAGAGAAUUUGUUGCUGGGGAUACGUUUGGUUUGCCAAAGAGCUCUGGACAUAAGAUUUUCACCCAAAUAAUAUAGAAUUACAAAAAAUUGGAAAUAACUAAUCUUGAAUAUCAAUGUGUAUAUUGAGUUUAAUUUUAUUGUAAAUAUUCUAUAAUAUAAUUUUAUUGUAAAUAUUGUAUUAACACAUUUGUGGACACAUCUUCAUAUGCAGACAGUAAUUUCCCUUUGUAAGUACAUGCAUAUUAGUCGUAUCUGCGAAUGGGUUAAUUGUAAAUCGUAAUCAAUAAAAAUUUUUUGUGAAUCAAUAAAAAACUGGUUUGUUUGAAAAUAAAUGUAGUACAAAUGUG